AGGGAGGGAGGGAAGGAGGGAAGGAAGGAAGCUGAGAAGGAGCGAGCGAGCGGGGGCGCGAGGCGUUUACCUGGAGGCAGCGGCUUGGGAGCGCAGAGCGGCCGCGGCUCCCCCGCACCUGCGGCCAUGGAUGAGGAGCGCGCCCUCUACAUCGUCCGGGCCGGCGAAGCGGGGGCUAUCGAGCGGGUCCUAAGGGAUUACAGCGACAAGCAUAGGGCUACUUUCAAAUUUGAAUCAACAGAUGAAGAUAAGAGAAAGAAACUCUGUGAAGGCAUAUUUAAAGUCCUUGUAAAGGACGUCCCAACAACAUGUCAAGUGUCCUGCCUGGAAGUACUCCGCAUUCUCUCCAGAGACAAAAAGAUUUUAGUUCCUGUAACAACCAAGGAAAACAUGCAGAUAUUGCUGAGACUAGCCAAGCUAACUGAGUCGGAUGAUUCUUUGGAGAAGGUGUCAGAGUUCCCAGUUAUUGUGGAAUCAUUAAAGUGUCUAUGUAACAUAGUGUUCAACAGUCAGAUGGCACAGCAGCUCAGCCUGGAACUUAAUCUUGCUGCAAAGCUCUGUAACCUCCUGAGAAAGUGCAAGGACCGAAAAUUUAUCAAUGACAUUAAGUGCUUUGACUUGCGCUUGCUCUUUCUCCUGUCACUUUUGCACACUGACAUCAGGUCACAAUUGCGCUAUGAGCUCCAGGGACUACCGCUGCUAACCCAGAUCUUGGAAAGUGCCUUUAGCAUCAAGUGGACCGAUGAGUAUGAAUCGGCCAUAGAUCAUAAUGGACCUCCUCUCUCACCUCAGGAGACAGACUGUGCCAUUGAGGCCCUCAAAGCUCUCUUCAAUGUGACAGUAGACAGUUGGAAGGUGCAUAAAGAGAGUGACUCUCAUCAGUUCCGUGUCAUGGCAGCUGUCCUUCGCCACUGUUUACUAAUCGUAGGUCCAACUGAAGACAAAACAGAAGAGUUGCACAGCAAUGCAGUCAACCUUUUAAGCAAUGUUCCGGUCUCUUGUUUGGAUGUUCUCAUUUGUCCAUUAACCCAUGAAGAAACAGCCCAAGAGGCAACAACUUUAGAUGAACUGCCCAGUGAUAAAACAGCUGAGAAAGAAACAGUUUUGAAAAACAAUACCAUGGAAUACAAUGGUAUGAAUAUGGAAGCCAUUCAUGUUUUACUCAAUUUUAUGGAGAAGAGAAUAGACAAGGGAAGCAGCUAUAGAGAGGGUCUAACUCCAGUUCUCAGCUUAUUAACAGAAUGUUCCCGAGCCCAUCGAAACAUCAGAAAAUUUCUCAAAGAUCAGGUUUUACCACCAUUGAGGGAUGUGACAAAUCGACCUGAAGUUGGCUCAACUGUGAGAAAUAAGCUGGUGCGCCUCAUGACACAUGUUGACCUUGGAGUCAAGCAAAUUGCUGCUGAAUUCCUUUUUGUCCUUUGCAAAGAGAGAGUGGAUAGCCUGCUGAAAUAUACUGGCUAUGGGAAUGCUGCAGGACUGUUGGCGGCCAGGGGCCUCUUGGCUGGAGGAAGAGGAGAUAAUUGGUACUCAGAGGACGAGGAUACAGACACUGAAGAAUACAAAAAUGCAAAACCAAACAUUAAUCUUAUCACUGGUCAUUUAGAGGAACCAAUGCCAAACCCCAUAGAUGAAAUGACAGAAGAACAAAAAGAAUAUGAAGCCAUGAAACUUGUCAACAUGCUUGAUAAACUUUCCAGGAGAGCAGAUGUGAAGGACCUGCACCAGGAUGGUGGUUAGCAACAAUGGCCCGUGCCAAAGCACUUACCAAAGUGAUGACUAAGGUUGGUCAUGCCAAGUACUGUUACUGAGCCUGGUGUAGGGUAUAGAUGUUAUUCACUAUUAAAAAGUGUAAAACCACCAAUGUAAAGCUUAAAACUACAUUUCAAUUUUUCCCCCAUGCUGGACUUAGCCACUGUCUCAAGGAGCUCACCACCUUAGCAUCUUUAUCUCAGCUAGACUUCCAAAGACAGUGGAGAGAUUAGUGCUCAUAUAUUUUCUUUCCAUUGAAUGCCAAAUGAUUUAGUAGUAUUUUAAGUGAUUUUGUAUUUCUUUAGUAUAAGGAUUAUCUCUGUAACAGAUGUUUAUAUAAACCCUUGUAUAGGAAUUGGCAGUAUACUUGGAGGUCUUCAGAGUUGGAGAAUCACCUGAACCCUAUAAUUCCCUUCAUAUCUAGCUAUAAUAUAGUGCCUUGAACCUUUGGUUUCUCCAGUGCAUGAUGAUGAAAUGAUGAAACAAGUGGUCCCCAAAUAUGAAGGUCAGGUUUCUUGCUCUAUAAAGUAGCCUACAUGGUUUAAGACUUUGGAGCUUAUUUUGUCAGUUCCAUUUCUUAUCCAGACUUGAUAAAAGUCAAGGCAGAAAGAGAAUUCUACAAAGCACUGUAGACCAUGACUAGCCAGUUUAAAUAUUUAGUGCAUAAUUUCUUUACCAUGGAAUGAUAAUUAAAAUAUUUAUCAAACAUAAGAAUUGAAGCCUAGGCUGGGCACAGUAGCAUAUGCCUGUAAUCCCAGCAGCUUGGGAGGCUGAUGCAGGAGGAUCACAUGUUCAAGGCCAGCCUCAGCAACUUGGCAAGACCCUGUCUCAAAUUAAAAAAUUAAAAAGAACUGGGGAUGUAGCUCAAUGGUAAAAUCCCUACUAGAGAUGAGAAUGUUGAUUGUGUGAAAACAAGCCCAGUGUGCCUGAGAGCAUUGCGUCUGCUUGGAUGCACCAGGCAGCUCACAUGUGAUGAUGCCUGCUCCAGAAAAGGGCAGAGGACAUCCAUUAACAUAAGUUUAAAUUAACCAAGGGAAUGAUAUUCCAAGUAACAGUUUUGUUUUGAAUUUUUAAAUCCUUAAUUGAUGCCAGAAUUGAUUAAUCCUCCACUCCACCCUCCCUCUAUCACUGUUUAACAAGGUACAUUGCCUGUUUGCUUUUAUGUUCUACCAUUAAAAUCUGUUUUAAAAUUUAUAUGUAUAUAAAUAAAUUAUUGUCCUACCAUUUCUUCUUUCUCCCAUCCACUCACUUAGCCAAAAAUUUGUAGUUUUUCAAAAAAUUUUAUUUUUUUGCCAGCCAUAAUGAUAUUUGGAUGUGGCUUUCUUAAUAAAUGCAAGUGCCAAAUAUUUAAAAAUUCCUUUAUUUCAAAGGUCAUUUUUAAAACUACUAAGGCUGAGAGUAAUUUAGGACUGAAAUGUAACAGCUAUGUAGUUUUUCCUUAAAAAUAUUUUAUUCUUCUUAACCAAAUAUCAACAACUAUGGUUACAUCUAUCUUGUGAUGAGUUAGUCAAGAAAAUGUUUUUCUGAUACAUUUCAGAAACAUGAUCCAAUUCUUAAAGCACUGUAAAAACUGUUGUAGGUAUUAAUGUAUAAAGAUCUAAUUGGUUCCAUCAGAAUAUCCUUCAGAUCUGCACUCUCCAGUACGGUAACCAUUAGCCGUACAUACUGUUGAGCACUUGAAAUGUGGUUAGUCCAAAUUGGGAUGACCUCUAAAUGUAAAAUAUUCACUGGGUUUCAAAGACUUAAUAAUAAUAAAAAAAACAAAGAAUGUUAAGUAUCUUACUAAUUGUUUAAUAUGGAUUACCUGUCAAAAUGAUAUUUUUGAUCUACUGAGUUAAGUAAAAUACAUUAAACAGCAAAUUUUAACUAUUUUUUCAAUGUGGCUACUAGAAUAUCAAUAUUACAUAUAUAGCUUACAUUGUCUUGCAUUUUAUUUUUAUUAGCAUUGCUCUCCAUCAUUAAAAUGUACUGUAAGGUUGCUUGGAAAUUCAAUUACCGGGACUUGGAUCCAGUUAAAUUAAUAACAUACAGGGGCAAGGGAGGGUUAAUUUGAGAAACUCAGUAGUUCUAUCAUUAGGUUAUAGAGGACCUUUCCAGUGGUAAGAUACCUGAGUAGGGGGCCAUAUUCCCUGUGGUAUGAGGUAGCCUCCAUAUUCCCUCUAGGUAGUCAGUGUCUUUUAGAUCUGUAAGAGGAAUGACUGCUUGGAGUUCUUGGUUAAAGCACUAGCUGAAAUGGCUUUUGACCCUUAGAAAAGGAUAAAAUAAGAAUAAUCUCCACUAGCUGUUUAUAAGUUAAAAGUUUUUUAACUUUUAAGCAUUCCUAAUUGGGAAGAGCAUAAAAAGGACUUCUUUUUUUUCCAACAGUGUCAGUUAGCAUGCUAAUUGCUUCAUGUUUAUUUUGUCAAUUUGGACUAUAGGGUAAAAAAGUUCUGAGUAGAUCACCAAGAAAUAAUAAAGAACACCAUCACCUAAGGAUAAAACUGAAUUUUAUUCUUCUAGCACUGUUCCUAAAAUCUUUCUCUAUAUUUUCUUAACCAUGCUGUUUAAUAUGAGGUGGGCAGCAAAUUUUUAGAAGCUUUGCAUGCAAUCUUCUAACAGAAAUGAGAGCAAUAAUAAAACACUAAUAUUUACAUAGUGCUUAACUGUAAAAAGUGCUUCCAUAUAUAUUAUCUCCAUUGAUCAUUAAAAUAGAGGUAUUUUAUUAAGAAGUAAAUGUAUCAAAGAUUAAAUAAAUGAACCCAGAUCAGGUAUCUAGUUAAGGAUAUCUACCAGGACUUGGUUCUCAGUCUUCAGACUCCAGAUAUUAUACUGUUUUGCAAACUUACCAACAGCUCUCAAAAGAUUGUCAGUCUGAUUAUUUUUAAAUAAAACUUUUAAAUUUUAAACAAAUGUGGAGCACAAAAGACCAAUAGUAAGCACAAAUGUCUACCUUGAAAGAAAAUUAAGAUGUGGAAAACACAAGCAUCAUGCAAGCUGCUUUUCAUCCCAUAGCUGAGCUCUUAUCAAAGAUUAGAUCACGUGCCCAAGAAAUACUUUAUAUUAUAUGAGGGAAACCAUAACAUUUCUGAUUCUGUUAAUACAAGGUUUGGUUUUUUUUUAUUAUUUUAAAGAGAAAAACGAAUAAUGAGUAUUCUAACAUUCUUACAUGUUAUUACACUAAUAAAACCUAACUUUUAGACAUCCCAAUUACCUUUACAAAGUCAAAUUACAUGGUAAUAUGAGCAGUAUACCAUAUCUAGUUGUCUUGGGAUUAAUAUUUUACUUUCCCAGCAGUACCUAGUCUCAAAGCACGAUGGUGAGAGAUAAGGAGACACUCAGAAUCAUUUAUGAAAGAUGCAGCCAGAAGACCUCAUAUUUGCUAUGGAAGAGCCACCAUACCCACCUUCCUACUGUGUUAAAAACUUAGUGAAAGAUCAAUAGAACUGGUCAGCACUCAGAAGCCACUAGAUGAAAGAUGCAAUGAAAGAGGGUCAGGGUCCAAGCCCAAAGGAUACUUUCACAGUAUCCAAUUGAGCAUGAUAACCAGUCUCAAAGGUUAUAUAAUUUCUGUGAGAAAAAGGGGUUAAAAACACCUAUACUAAGUCACAGCUUAUUGAAAAGUCCAUUGCACUGCAGUGGAUCAUAAGCAGUGUCCUAGACUUGGAAUUAUAACUAAGACUAUAGAGCUGCUUUCUCCAGACCAUCACAUGCUCCAUUCUAGCAGACAUUCUUGGAAGAGCUCUGUGUAAUGAAAAUGCUUAUUUAUAUACUAGUUUUUCAUCCCAUCUUUCAAAUGUGAAAAGGAAUUAAAUAUGAAAUGCCUAAUUUAAAAUGUCAGGGUCCUUUUUUCCAAGCCAACCUUACAUUAAGAGCAGGAAUCCCUGAGCCAAAUAAAUGGUUCCCAAUUAUCUUGUCUUGGGUUUUGUUAUAUAUUGUUCAGAAGUCAACAAAACAAGUAUGUAACAGAACCUGCCUAAAUAGCAGCCACCCUCAUUAAAAACGGAGAAUUAAUCAGGGGUGAUUGAAGGAAGCAAUGCCUCAUAGAUUCCCCCUACACACACACUUUUCUUCUUUUCUAAUCAUAGAACAAAAUAUGUUACAUAAAAGGAUCGGAACGAUUAUUCAGUACUCAAUUAGAGGGAGGUGAAUAGGUCUCUAACAUGCUGUUUUAUCAAAAGAGCAGACUGGUGUUUGCAUGACUGUUGUUUCAUUACAGACCCUGUCAUUAAUUCCAUGUGUCAAUACUGCCCUGUAGUACACAGAGCAGACAAGAAAGAAGAGCCCUUGAAAACAAGGGAAUGAUUUUUGAGUCGUUAUCAAGCUAAGUGGCAAGCGGGAAGCUGAAACUCGUAUAGUUGAACAUUCUUGGAGGCUUAUCUCUUCCCUGGCCAGAUGCCUGAUCAGAUGAGAAGCCCGCCAUGAUACUGUCACAGUGCCUAGAAUGGGCUCUUUAUCCAGUAGACAUCACUGUACUUUUUGAUGAUAACGAGGGCAGUCUUAACUUAUGUUAAGGCCUGUGUAUAGCAUUGAAGAGAGGAGUUGCUUAAACCAAUGGGACUAAAACCUGAUGGGACAAUAACGCCUUUGGAGGAAGCACUCAACCAGUACUCUGUCCUGGAAGAGACCAGCUCCGACACAGACUGAAAGCAUCACCUGCUCAGCUCCCAGUA